rnacentral:rRNA from 1 species
UCGGGUCUGCUGCCCUCCGGGGCGCGCCGGGUGACUAGUGAGGGUGGGCGGCGGUCAAGUGUGCCUCAGGCUGUGUCUUCGGAUUCACAGGGCCAGGUCUCGCUUUCGGGCGGGGCUCGGUUCGGCUUGGGGUACCACUUACCAUGAUCAAACUGGGGUGAUCAAAGCAGGUCGUUCGACCUUGCACAGCGCAGCAUGGCAUAAGCCAAGCCGGUUCGGCCUUCAAGCGGGGCCGGGCCGGCAGUAGCAAAAGGGGUGUUCGAGGGUGACCGAAUUGCCGGGCGAGUGGUGAAAUACGUUGACCCUGGCAAGUCGACCAAAGGCGAAAGCAGUCAUCAAGGGCACGCCCGUUGAUCAAGAGCGAAAGUUAAGGGUUCGAAGACGAUCAGAUACCGUCGUAGUCUUAACUAUAAAUGAUACUGGCCAGGGAUGGGAUAAUGUCCAUCUCGACUCUUCCUGGACCUUGGAGAAAUCAGAGUCUUUGAGUUCUGGGGGGAGUAUGGUCGCAAGGCUGAAACUUAAAGGAAUUGACGGAAGGGCACACAAAGAGUGGAACCUGCGGCUUAAUUUGACUCAACACGGGAAAACUCACCAGGUCCGGAUACACGUAUGAAAGACAAGCUGAAAGACUUUUCUCAAUGAUGUAAGUGGUGGUGCAUGGUCGUUCUUAGUUCGUGGAGUGGUUUGUCUGGUCUAUUCCGAUAACGAGCGAGACCCCGGCGUUCCUAAUAUGGGGCAGCAGCCCGGCUUGCCUGGCCUUCACGGGUCGGGCUCGCUAGCAGCUGCCUCAAACUAUGCUUCUUAGACGUAUCAGAGCCGAUAAGGUUCUUGAAAUGGGUUAAUAACAGGUCAGUCAUGCCCUUAGAUGUUCUGGGCCGCACGCGCGUUACAAUGGCAUGCUUAGAGAGUGCUCAAAAGGGCGUAUCCGCGGCCUACAGGUCGCGGUAACCCCUAGUCCCUGCCUUGACUGGGACAGACUAUUGCAAUUAUUGGUCUCGAACGAGGAAUUUUUAGUAGUCGCAGGUCAUUAACCUGCGACGAAUGCGUCCCUGCCCUUUGUACACACCGCCCGUCGCUGCUACCGAUUGGGUUUUGCGGUUACGAGUUCGGAGGCCGUGGCUACCGUUUGCCCUCGGGUAGGUGGAAACCGUGGCUGAAGUUCUAAUUACCGCACGGCCUAGAGGAAGCAGAAGUCGUAACAAGGUA